GCCUGGUGUGGUGGCCCACACCUGCAUUCUCAGCUACUGGAGAGGCUGAUGCGGGAGGAUCAUUUCAGCCCAGGGCUUCUGGGCUGUAGAACACUAUACUGAUCCAGGUGCCCACACUAUGCUUGGCGUCAAAAUAGGAGGGUCUCCUGGGGAGCGGGGGACAACUGAGUUACCUGAGGAGGGGUGAACCAGCCAGGCCGGAGAUGGGUCAGGUCACUACUGUGCUGCUCAGUAGUGGGACUGCACUUGCCAAUAGUCACUGCACUCCAACCUGGGAGACGUAGCCAGACCCUGUCUUUU
ensembl:misc_RNA Metazoa_SRP Metazoan signal recognition particle RNA